rnacentral:lncRNA from 1 species
CAUGAAGCCCCCUGAUCCAUUCUGGGCACCACCUACAUCAAUGUGAGGACGCCAGUGAGGCUGGGAUACUCCGAUCCACUGUGCAAUCACUCAGUGCAAUCAACCUUUGCAAGCUGCAGAUCCAGGCAGUGUGAAGCCCCCCAGUCUGCUCCAGGCUCUACCGAUGGCACGCUUCUGCCCAUGUCAUGAUGAGGACCCAGUUUCAGCUUGGGGCCCCAGCUCCCUCACAUGCUCUGCUUGGGUGGACCAACCAACACACGAUGAAGAUCCAGGCUGUGUGUAGCCUCCCAGUCUAUUCCGGGCUCCAACCAUGGCUCAGUGAAGAUUGAGACUCAGCUCUGCCCACAGCACGUUGAGGACCCCACCUUGGCUUGGAGACCCCACUCCAUCCCAUGCUCCACUUGGCAUGAGCAACCAGCACAAGUUGAUGAUCCCUCAGCAUGAAGCCCCCCUACUCCAUUUUGGGCACCACCCCUGGCUGUGUGAGGACCCAAGAGGGUCUUGUAGCCCCCAACCCAUUGUGCAAUCCACUCAGCAUGAUCAGCCUCUGCAGGCUGGGGAUCCAGGCAGUGUGAAGACCCC